AGAUUUGAGGUCAGACUUAAAGAAUGU
rnacentral:piRNA from 1 species